rnacentral:rRNA from 1 species
UUGACGGGGACCCGCACAAGCGGUGGAUGAUGUGGUUUAAUUCGAUGCAACGCGAAAAACCUUACCCACCUUUGACAUGGCAGGAAGUUUCCAGAGAUGGAUUCGUGCCCGAAAGGGAACCUGCACACAGGUGCUGCAUGGCUGUCGUCAGCUCGUGUCGUGAGAUGUUGGGUUAAGUCCCGCAACGAGCGCAACCCUUGCCAUUAGUUGCUACGAAAGGGCACUCUAAUGGGACUGCCGGUGACAAACCGGAGGAAGGUGGGGAUGACGUCAAGUCCUCAUGGCCCUUAUAGGUGGGGCUACACACGUCAUACAAUGGCUGGUACAGAGGGUUGCCAACCCGCGAGGGGGAGCUAAUCCCAUAAAGCCAGUCGUAGUCCGGAUCGCAGUCUGCAACUCGACUGCGUGAAGUCGGAAUCGCUAGUAAUCGCGGAUCAGAAUGUCGCGGUGAAUACGUUCCCGGGUCUUGUACACACCGCCCGUCACACCAUGGGAGCGGGUUCUGCCAGAAGUAGGUAGCCUAACCGUAAGGAGGGCGCUUACCACGGCAGGGUUCGUGACUGGGGUGAAGUCGUAACAAGGUAACCAAGGGC